rnacentral:lncRNA from 1 species
CGCAUAGCAACCGUCUCCUCGUUCAUGACAGCAUAUCUUGCCAUCUUAGCCGCUAACUCCGCAUCCAGUGCUGCACUUUUGGCUUGCGCGGCUGCGGUGGCUAAUUCUACUUCUAUUCCUCUUUCUCCCAUCUCUCGAAUCUCUUGUUUGAGUCGACGUAGUUUCAUCCUUAGACUCUCCUCAGUCGUUUUCACUUCGAUAUUCUUGCCCUUUUCCAUCUUAGCAGCAAUUUCACCUUUCCUGAGAUGAUAGAGUAACAAUUUAGGAUUUGGUAGUAGGAUUUUAUUUCUGGCUGAGAAACUCAAGACUCGUGGAAUUUUGGUCGGACAUUUGGUAGUGACUUGUAUUUGGUAUUGGGCAAAUUUUCGGAAAAUUUUCGAAAAGGAGUGGGCUAAAAAUGU